CGCAUCCCCACUGGAGAGAGACACACCCAACCUGAUGUGGUUUGUGUGUCCACCGAAGGAGCAACCCGCAGUCGACCCGCCAUCUGGUGGGUCUUGGCCCGGCGAAUCUCUCAGGUAAAGCGGACAGCGGGGGCAGC
rnacentral:ncRNA from 1 species